rnacentral:rRNA from 1 species
CAGUCGCCGCGGUAAUACGUAGGUGGCAAGCGUUGUCCGGAAUUAUUGGGCGUAAAGCGCGCGCAGGCGGAUAGGUCAGUCUGUCUUAAAAGUUCGGGGCUUAACCCCGUGAUGGGAUGGAAACUGCCAAUCUAGAGUAUCGGAGAGGAAAGUGGAAUUCCUAGUGUAGCGGUGAAAUGCGUAGAUAUUAGGAAGAACACCAGUGGCGAAGGCGACUUUCUGGACGAAAACUGACGCUGAGGCGCGAAAGCCAGGGGAGCGAACGGGAUUAGAUACCCGUGUAGUUCCUGUCUCUUAUACC